rnacentral:rRNA from 1 species
GACGAACGCUGGCGGCGUGCUUAACACAUGCAAGUCGAACGGAAAGGCCCUGCUUUUGUGGGGUGCUCGAGUGGCGAACGGGUGAGUAACACGUGAGUAACCUGCCCUUGACUUUGGGAUAACUUCAGGAAACUGGGGCUAAUACCGGAUAGGAGCUCCUGCUGCAUGGUGGGGGUUGGAUAGUUUCGGCGGGUGGGGAUGGACUCGCGGCUUAUCAGCUUGUUGGUGGGGUAGUGGCUUACCAAGGCUUUGACGGGUAGCCGGCCUGGGAGGGUGACCGGCCACAUUGGGACUGAGAUACGGCCCAGACUCCUACGGGAGGCAGCAGGGGGGAAUAUGGCACAAUGGGCGGAAGCCUGAUGCAGCAACGCCGCGUGCGGGAUGACGGCCUUCGGGUUGUAAACCGCUUUCGCCUGUGACGAAGCGUGAGUGACGGUAAUGGGUAAAGAAGCACCGGCUAACUACGUG